rnacentral:rRNA from 1 species
CAAAAACAUCGCCUCUUGACAAUUAUAUAAGAGGUCCAGCCUGCCCAGUGACUCUGUUCAACGGCCGCGGUAUCCUAACCGUGCGAAGGUAGCGUAAUCACUUGUUCUUUAAAUGAGGACUAGUAUGAAUGGCAUUACGAGGGUUAUACUGUCUCCUUUUCCUAAUCAGUGAAACUAAUCUCCUCGUGAAGAAGCGAGGAUGAACGUAUAAGACGAGAAGACCCUAUGGAGCUUUAAACUUCCAGCAAUUAUCAUUUUUAUACCAACCUCAAGGUAAUCAAAUUAACUUAAAUACUAUGCCUGUUAGUUUUCGGUUGGGGUGACCGCGGAGUAAAAUUCACCCUCCGCAAUGAAUACUAAACGCUAAGCAAAAAACUACAAUUUUAUGCAUCAAAAAAUUGACACUAUUGACCCAACAC